AGCACGCCCCACGCCCAGUGCCCCGCAGCUGGGCCAAGCGGAUCCAAGAUGGGUCUCACCCGAAUUUUUCUUUGGGAGCUGGACUAAGGGGAGGUCAAGAUUCCAAACGCCCCCAAAUGACUCCAAAGGGUUUCACAGGUAUGUGGCCAAAGGAACAACUCCAUGUUUUCAAAAAGGCCUGGAGAACAUCUAGCAGAGCCCCAGCUAAGAACCUAGAUGAGUAGAAGUAAAGUUUUGUCUCCUUUACAGUGGAAACAACCCAAGUGUCUAUCAACAGAAAAAUGGAUAAGCAAAAUGUGGUAUAUCCAUACAAUUGAAUAUUACUUGCC